AGCUAUAUCAGGACCAAAAUGGCAGGAAAAUUUGUAAACCUGUGUUGAUUUUAUUAACCAAUACCAAUGGGCUUGCUUGAAAAUUGUAAUUGACGUUGAACUUGUAAUGUUGUAGAUUCAGUUUACACUUAUAGUUUGUUGACUACAGUUUCUCAAAGUAUUUGGAACUAGGUACAAGCUGGGCCUGAUGAAGAAAGAUGAUGAUGAUGAACAAAAAUAAGAAAUGCGAUUUUAGCUAUUCACCGGAUUUCGACUUGGGACGCUCUGGAUAGCUGAAAAGCGUCAUAUACACCUGAGAUAGAGCGACUAUACUAGGUAGCUCUUCAUAUCUAGCUUCUGAUGACCUGUAGAGAAGAAAAUCCAGAUGACUCUCCAAUAAUUCAAGACAGAGCUUAUUGAAGUGGUUUCCAACAGUGUGUUGUGAAAAUCAGAACAAGUUUAUACUUUCAAGGUAAUCAUCACUACUAAAAGGAGUCCUCAAAUAACUUGUACUGCAAGUUUUCCAAAUUUGAUCUAAGGACUGGACUACAGAUGUUAACCUCAAACCUGGAAUAACUGCUUUCUGACCACUUUCAACUUACUGACAUUGGCAUCUUAGGACUGGUUGUGAUUUGAUAUGUAGGAAUUUUAAUGCUUGUCUUCCAAAUGGACCAAAACUGAAAGAAACUGAGUGUGAAGUUGUAGUUUGAAGUUCUGUCUAAGAAGACUUCUUCACAAGCAUCCUAAUCACAUACAGUCUUGAAGAUGGCUCUGGACAACAGUAUACUUUGUUGAUGAGAAACAAAUACUGAUCAACUUAUUAAUGAAAACUAUAGAAACCAGAGAAGAAGAAAAAACAGUUUUCCAGGAAUUACCCAUCCACUCUCAUUAUGAUUGGAGCAGGAGGAAACCCACAGCUGUAAGUUGUGAUCAAGAGGCUGUCAAAGUCUUACAUUACAAGCAUCUUUUCUAUAACCUCAGUAAUAUUUCACAGAUUUAGGUGAUAAAGAAAAUAUAAACUAUCAUAUUUUUAUAGGAAAACUGAAUAUUAAGUUUUUUAAUUUUUAAACAUCUAUUGAAUUUUAUCCUUGUUUAACUAAAGCUGAACAUGCUUUCUAGAAAAUGAAAUAUAUUAAAUCUUUAAAUAGUGUUUCAGUGAGUAUCUGUUCUAUUGGAAGUAUUUUAUGGCAUUACUUUAUACAUUAAGCUUGUUUCUGAAAAAAUGUUUCAGAGUGUAGUACAGUUAUUUCAAAUGGCUAAGCCCUCUGUGUGUGUGUGUAUCAAAACUUAAUGUAUAAUCUAAAUGUUGAACAGUCUUUGAUUCUUAUGGUCCUCAUAACAUAGCAAUUUCUGUAAAUUUCUUUUCCAGACCAAAGAGAUUGUUUUAUCAACAGCUUUACUCUACGAGCAAGAUAAAAAACAUUUUAUUAUUGGUAUUUCUCUGACCACUAUGUUUAAAGGUUUAUGAUGAUCACUGAAGAGGUUUAAAAUUAUGUGUAAUUUCUUUUUGUAACAAAUAAAACAAAUUAUGUAAAUAAACUUUCAAUAUCAUGAACAUUUUCUUAGGAUAUUAGUUAUUAAUUAAUUAGUGUUUACCUGAAUCAGAUAAUAUCUGAUAAUGGAAUUGUAUAUUUAUUAUUAAAAUGCAAGCAACAACCAUAUAUAAGAUUGUAGAGGGUUUUGAUAAACCAGCCCUGAUGUAUAGGAUUACAAAGGUUUUUGUAUUUUUUUAUAUUUUAUAGUAAUUUCAAUGCAAGCAACAUUUUUGUAAAUCCAUACACAUUUUUCAAUAAAAAACCCUGAUUAACUAGUUCAUGGGGGUCAAAAAUUGAUUGCGUUUAUCCAAAAUCAGUGAAUGCCACAAAAUUUGAAUGUGAUCUCGUAAAUAGUUUUUGCAUAAAUACCAAUUAAUAAAGUUUAAAAUGAUACCAUGAAAGCAACUCAAGCAAUGGUAGCAACUGUCAUUAGUCACAAAAUGGACAUUUUUGUAGAUCUUAUUGAUUGUUUUUAAACUGUGGAUAUUACUAAUACUUCACAGAAUGAGAAAAAUAAACAUUUUCUAGAUCUUUAAUAUUUUUUGUGUAUUUUUAGUGAGAUAUACAUACUUAUGAGUUUUAGCCAAAGAUUUAUUUACUUAUUUAUAACCCAUUUGUUAAAAUUAUGACUAACAAUACUCUCUACACCUUUUAAAUUUAAUAUUUUACUUAAUGUGAUCUUGUGUUAAUGUUUCACUAAAUGUGUUCUUGUGUUAAUGUUUACUAAAUGUAGUGUUGUGUUAAUUUUUCAAUAAAUGUGGUCUUGUGUUAAUUUUUUAGUAAAUAUGGUAUUGUGUUAAUGUUUAGUAAAUGUGGUAUUGUAUUAAUGUUUUACUAAAUGUGGUCUUGUGCUGAUUAAUGUUUUAGUAAAUUACUGCUGGUUACUUGUGACUGGUUGCACUCUCUUGUGAAUGGAGUGUGAUAAUGUUUUCUACAUGAGUGUUGUUCAGUAUGCUUUGAUUGGUUGUAUCUUUCUCUUGAUACUUGGCAUGUCCAGUUGGUUAGGGUGCUUGACUCGCUAUCUGAGGGACAUGUGUUCGGAUCCCCAUCCCACCAAACAUGCUGGCCUUUCA